AGCUAAUCUUCUUAGUAAUCACAAUGUUUGACCGUUGGAACUGAACAAAGUUCACAUUGUCAAUAACAACAGGUGGUACUUCUACCAAUGAGAGAAGGACAGGGCAAAAAUAAACCCAGAGACAGAUAAAAAAGAAGACAGAUAUAAAAGAAAAGACGGAGAGACCAUUAAGAGAAUCACGACUUCUACCUCUGGACUGAACCAACCAUCUUUUCUCUCUGAGGAAUAUUCUUUGGAUUAUUUCACAACCCUCUGCACUGAAACAUGAUGUGACACACUGAUUGAUUAUAAGAUAUGUGACUGCCAUCACAAGCGUCACCUUUGACCUCCACUUACAUGCAGGCUACUGAAGACAAUUUAACAUCAGGAAGGACAACUGUCGGGACAACUAUGCAGUAGCUCACUGAGAAUAUUUGGCAACCAUCUGCAAGUCAUCUCCACCUGCGUUCAUUCAAAUCUGCAUUUAAGGGAACCUGAAUACUCAGUAUGGAGGUACUGAGUGGCCCCUGGGCGGAUGUGGCUCUGCUCCUGCAACAGACCAUCACCCAAACAGACAGAGAGACAGACAGCUUUCUUCCUCUCUGGCUCUUCGGACUGCUGCUGUUCCUGUCUGUCUGUCUGCUGCUGCUGCAGCUGAUUAUCUACCUCAGCUGGAAGCUCAGACAGGCUGAGGCGGAUCUGUUGGGGUUCCCGCAGGACAGAAGCGCCCUCCACAGGCAGAUACACAGAAGUACGCACCUGAGGAGGAGGAGCGUUGGGUCGCAUUCAUACACGUAGCCGGACGCACACCUCCUCAACAUUCAAUUUUAGCAUUGACACCCGCUACAAUAAACUCUGUCCCGAAUCUUUCCAGCAGCUCUGCCAGUCAACCUGAGUUCAGACUGUCUCUACAGAACAAUGUGACCGAUUGUGGGAGGGACGCUUCUCAUACUUAAACUGCCUUAAGAGGGUGAGAGUUGAAGCCUGUCUAGAAAAUAGUUAGCUGUCAUAGAUGAUCUGUGAAAAGCACCGCUGUGCCUCUUGAAACACUGGAAAUCUGGAAGCCCUCUACACAGAUGUCUCUAAUCUUCUCUGACAAUUGGCAUCUUUUACAGAUGUGUUUUUAAUUGCCAUCUUGUUUAAGCUUGGGAAGUUUAAGAAACCUGGAAAGUAGCAUUUACUUAUACCAAACACUUACUGCACAUACUAUUAAGACUACCUGGAGAGAAAGCACAGUUAAACUCGUGUACAUGAACAUUCAAGACUUACAAAUUUCGAAUCACACCAUCCACGGAAAUGAAUGAAUGGGGAAAUGAACUGACCAAACAGAUUUCAGAGUACAACAAUCUUUUAUUUAAACAGUGUUACACAGAGGGAGGAGUGGCUGUGUGUGUGGGGAGACACAAGACAAUUAAGCUGCUAGAUACAAAAACCGUACUGGUGAUCAUUGGUUGGCUAAGAGAGAGCAAUGAGGCUGCUGGUUGGUUUUCCAAAACUCAUGUCUUUGUAAAGUUUUGUUGAAAGUGAGUUUUAACUCAGUUAACAUACAAAAUGGUGCUGGUUUUAGUUGACUUUAUAUCAUCUCAUCUGUCCAAAUUGUUGUACAAAGCCUGAGCUUUAGGUGUAAAGCAUAUAAUCGAUGUCGAUUAUAAAACAUCUAUUUCAUCAGCAUCCAUACAGAAAGUCAUGACAUUGUGUAAAUCAGAUGAAUGUAACAAUGUCCUCCAUAAUGUUGAGAUACCUGACAGUUUUAAAAUCAGCUGGAGUAGAAUCAAAUGUGUAUUAUCCAUGAGUGACAUGUAGAUGACGCGGUAACAUUUUUUUUUUUUAAAUCUUAAUAAAGUU